GUCAUCGCUGAAAAAUUUGAUCUGCAGAUUCCUAAUCUGAGGGUCGCAGGUUCGAGUCCUGCCGGGGUCACCA
rnacentral:tRNA from 1 species